CGCAUUAUUAGUGGAGCAUUACUCCUCCUCGGUCGCGCCUGGACGGAGCUGCGUGUAGGGAUACAUGUCAAUUCAUACAUGUGUGACUACACUUAAUUAAUAACGAGGUUACGUAAAAGAAAUAGCAGAGCAGAAGUCCAGUGAUGAUAAUGGCCACACCAACAGCGAUCAGUCCCACCAAAAGAGACGUCACAUCAACCCGUGUGCCCUGUUGGUCCUUUUCUGUGGAUCAUCACAGGCCACAGUGAGUGGCCGGACAGUGUUUCCAGGAACGAAAACCUCGAAGUCAAACCGGUUGAACAGCAGCCGGCGACCCAGGAAGCCGUUGGCGUCCCCGUCAUCUACAAACACUGGGACGCGUGUCCAAGCAGGCGAGUCAAUCAACAGCACACUGACGGAUCGGAGCGGUUCGAGUGGAUCCACUUGUCCCACCUGCUGCCCGCUGCUCACCUUCUCGGGCUUCUUGUUGCGACGGAACCCUCUCCACACAGGCCAGAUCCCCGAGAGACAGCAGCGGGAGGAGGAGGAGGAGGAACAACAUGGUUCGGAGUGCACCUGCGUGCGGACAGGUGGGCGCAUUAAUGGGCGCAGUACCAAACAACGCGUCCAGCUUUUAUAAACUACUAUUAUGUAGCUACCCCACCGACCAGGCACCAGAUAGGCUCACCUGUGUUCAAAUUUACCGACGAUGUGUCACAUAAUGAAGGACAGAAUUUCAGCGCAAACGAAACGAAAGCUCACGCGUCCUCGGACCUCGACGCAGAUAAGAGAAACCAGGAAGCAGCCGGUGACAAAGCGGCCGAAGAGCGACCUUUAAAAAUAACGUUACCGCGGUGAUCGUCUUUUGAAGAUCAAAAAUUGUGUCCGAAAACCACCCGGUUUUUUGUCCCGGCAGGAUAAAAAUGGGUUGUGUUUUCCCCGAACAGAUUUGGCCUCGAGCUCCUCCUGAACUACCUGCGCAGACUCAACUAAUCGAUCAGGUCUACCUGGAUAAUGGAGAUGAUUUAAGUAAAUACAGAUGGACGCUAGAUGGCAGCUGGAACCACGAAAUUCGAAGCAGCUGGGGAACAAUGCAAUUGAAGUAGUUAUAAUAGAAGGUAUUUACCUUUAAUUCAAUGUAGGUGACCCCCAUUUAAGUUUACACACUGACUUAUGUCGUGUCAUGUAACAGGGAUCUUCCACACCAAGAUAUAUUAGGAUUUAAAGGGCAGUCUUACUUUAAUGACACUUACAGGGUCAUUGUUGAAACUUCACUUCUAAUGGGUGAGCACAAAUUACUGCUGUAAAACGAUGCUAUCUUUUGGGAUCUUCGCAUCGGGACAUAAAAGCACUAAAUCUCCAGUCAACAGCUCGAGAGCUGGUGACUACACAACUAUUCACAGGCCUUGUAUGGGAAAAUGUUGUGCAACGGGCAUCUGUGUUAAAAUACACUUAGUAUGUCACUUUCCACCGCAAAGAACGGUGACUAUAGCAACCUUAGAGACAUCUCAAAACACCCAAAACAUCAUGAGGCAACACAGUGAAGAUAAAGUUCCACAUUCUGCUUGCCAGUGUUUAUUCAAAGCAGAGAUUGGAUGCAAAUGAACAUUAUCUGGGUGACUACUGGCUUCUGGUAAUUGAAGAGCACCCCCCCGCCCCCCCGCCUGUACUUGGUGAGGUCUCUGGAUACCAUCACAGUCUUGGAUUUACCCGGAGGAAUGUUGAUAUGAAGAAAAGGGGUGAGGAAAAGGAGAUAUUCCAGACAUUAUCUAGUGUGUGAUGUCAGAUGCCACCUUACACCGUAUACGUCCAUAUCAACGUUAAAAUGACUAAUAGUGUCUUACUGCUGGGAAAUUCAUGUGCUCCUACAUCAGCUCAUACAGCAAAGGGCGUGGACAAGUUUUUCAAACCAGGACUUAAGUCCUCUUAAAGAGUAAAACCCUGUUACUGUGCUGUUAUAGCUGGCCGAGUAGUUUUAACUACUUUAUAUACAGUUAGGUAAUUUCAUCUAGUUUUAGCUCAGCCAAGGGACAAAACUAUGGCAAAGAGUCUGCAGUUCUCUGAUCUUUGUGUGUGUUUUGGUGUGAUAAAUGUUGAAUAAUGUUUAAAUCGUUUAAGUUAUUUAAAUGAAACAUCUAAAAAAUUAGAGACAUGUAAAAUGUGAAAGGGUUCCAAUAUGGUAAAUUAAAGUGUAAUGUAAUAGUCACUUAACCAUUGCUGUUAAAUAGAGUUGUAAAGCAUAAUAAAUCCCACUCAAAUGUAGUGUAGAGUUCAGGAGUAAAUGUACUCAAAUUACUUUCCUGCUGAUAAGCUGAGCUACAUGUGCAAAACGAAAAAACCUAAGCCAAGCAAAUCCAAAUGUAAUAUCACCUCAUAUCCUUUAACUAUGCAGAACUACUUCUGACUAUGAUAAGGGGACGUGAGGCUCGCACCAGAUAAACCAAACACUGCACAGUCUGGGACAUCUGACAUGACGGACCAUCCAGAAAAAAUUAGAGGACGAGAAGAGACGGAAGGAGAGUGGGAUCCCUUUUGCAGGAUGAGAGCUGAGACGCAAUGGUGGCUGUGAUGAGGCCAUGCUCCUGAGAAUGUGUUCUGUGAUUUACACCCAUUGAUAAGCGUCAGAGAAGCUGGCUCCCUGUGGACAACUAGAGGGAAGUGAGCGACACAUGGAUGGUGGCACCAUCAGCAGAACACUGUUUGGGGACCAAGAACCGCGUUUGCUGAUCAUUCAGUGGGACCCUGUGAGAAACCAACAGCACACUUUACAAGGGCAGAAGGCCACGAUUGAUCUGCGGGGAAGUGCUUGUACCGUCAAUGACAAAAGCCUCGACCUCCUCGGCGCCAAUCUGCAGCUCCUGUUCCAUGGUGUCAAAGGAGAUCUCCUUGAAUUCCACAGCCAUGCCCAUGAAUGUCAGCAGGCGCAUCUUGGACAUGUUUUGCUCGUGAGACAGGCCUGGAGAGCAACACGCAGGGAUCAUUAAGCACCAACAGUCACAGUCGAUUACACGCAACUCCGGGAGUUUCCCUGUGAUAAUUGUCUCUGCGUUCAGGAGCAUGCAGUCAGUGAACCUACUCAUUAACGCAAACACCACAUUGUCUUGUUUUGAGAGUCCAUCCUACACAGGCUUGUGAUUAAACCAAAGCCUUUCGUAUGGAGAAAGAGGAACACUGCUGACACACACACAUUCCUGUGCUGUGUCAACAGCGCGCGCAGCACGUCAACUCAAUACCUAUGAGAGCUUAAUACCGGAAAGGCUGUUCACAUAGUCUUUAUAUGUACUUUAUUACAGAGGUAAUUUAAGAAAAAUUUACAUUCGUCUCCAAUCAUAACACCAGGAUAAAUGAUAAUACGGUCCUUAUAGAGGGAAAGGUUAUUGAUAGAUAAAUUCUCAAAAACUACUUAACUGUCUAAGAUGGUAAUCUCUUGAUACGCUCUUAGAAGGGCAGCAUUCGAUUUUAAAACGUGUUUUCUUCAGUUUAAAUACAUUUACGGUAGAAAAUGUACAUGGUAAAGAGCAGAGAUCAAUUAUAUCACUAAUCAACCACCGUGUACACUGAGGUUUUAGGGCAGUCAGACCAUGGUAAAGGUUUCUACAGCACAGAAACCUUUACCAUGUUUCUUAAUAAACCUUUUUACUUUUCAAA